GACGAACGCUGGCGGCGUGCUUAACACAUGCAAGUCGAACGGAAAGGCCCUGCUUUUGUGGGGUGCUCGAGUGGCGAACGGGUGAGUAACACGUGAGUAACCUGCCCUUGACUUUGGGAUAACUUCAGGAAACUGGAGCUAAUACCGGAUAGGAGCUCCUGCUGCAUGGUGGGGGUUGGAAAUUUUCGGCGGUUGGGGAUGGACUCGCGGCUUAUCAGCUUGUUGGUGGGGUAGUGGCUUACCAAGGCUUUGACGGGUAGCCGGCCUGAGAGGGUGACCGGCCACAUUGGGACUGAGAUACGGCCCAGACUCCUACGGGAGGCAGCAGUGGGGAAUAUUGCACAAUGGGAGGAAGCCUGAUGCAGCAACGCCGCGUGCGGGAUGACGGCCUUCGGGUUGUAAACCGCUUUCGCCUGUGACGAAGCGUGAGUGACGGUAAUGGGUAAAGAAGCACCGGCUAACUACGUG
rnacentral:rRNA from 1 species